GACGAACGUUGGCGGCGUGCUUAAUACAUGCAAGUCAACUGAAGCAGUGGUAGCAAUCUCGCUGUGGAGGUGGCGCACGGGUGAGUAACACGUAGGUAAUCUGCCUUCAGGUCUGGCAUAACUCCGGGAAACCGGGGCUAAUAGCAGAUGAUGCAGCGGCUCGACAUCGAGACAGUUGUUAAAGCUAUGGCGCCUGAAGAUGAGCCUGCGUCUGAUUAGCUAGUUGGCGGGGUAACGGCCCACCAAGGCAACGAUCAGUAGCUGGUCUGAGAGGAUGAUCAGCCACACUGGAACUGAGACACGGUCCAGACUCCUACGGGAGGCAGCAGUAAGGAAUAUUGCUCAAUGGGAGAAAUCCUGAAGCAGCAAGGCCGCGUGAGGGACGAAGGGCUUUUGCUUGUAAACCUCUGUAGUGAGAGAAAAAAAUCCCAAUCUUUGGGACAUGAUGGUAUCUCAAAAGUAAGCCCCGGCUAACUACGUG
rnacentral:rRNA from 1 species